GAUGAACGCUGGCGGCGUGCCUAAUACAUGCAAGUCGAGCGAACAGACGAGGAGCUUGCUCCUCUGACGUUAGCGGCGGACGGGUGAGUAACACGUGGAUAACCUACCUAUAAGACUGGGAUAACUUCGGGAAACCGGAGCUAAUACCGGAUAAUAUAUUGAACCGCAUGGUUCAAUAGUGAAAGACGGUUUUGCUGUCACUUAUAGAUGGAUCCGCGCCGCAUUAGCUAGUUGGUAAGGUAACGGCUUACCAAGGCGACGAUGCGUAGCCGACCUGAGAGGGUGAUCGCCCACACUGAAACUGAUACCCGGCCCAGCCUCCUAGGGGAGGCACAAGGGGGGAAUCUUCCGCAAGGGGCGAAAGUUGGACGGAGCAACGCCGCGGGAGUGAUGAAGGUCUUCGUAUCGUAAAACUCUUUUAUUAGGGAAAAAAAAAUGUGUAAGUAACUAUGCACGUCUUGAGGGUACCUAAUCAGAAAGCCACGGCUAACUACGCC
rnacentral:rRNA from 1 species